rnacentral:lncRNA from 1 species
CGUUAAAAUACUUUUGUUAAAACAAAUUCGAAAUAUAAGGAAGACGAUUGUUCCGACUCAAAUGCCGAUGUCAAUUCCCUGGAUGUGUGUGUACACUGAAUACACAGAAUCCUUUUCCGCCAUACAACACACCCCACAUGUCAAAUCUCCGCUCAACCUAGCUCCCGCUUCACCAGUCAGUCAGCGGAAAACACUCACGAGAUUCACAACUCCGUCUCAACCCUGGCUCCUUUGUGAUGAUGAUUCAGAUACGGAACCAACAACAGAAGACACUGCUUACACCUAGCUCCGCGCUCCACAAAGUUCCAGAGAUCCGGGCGGAACCAGACUUCCUUCCAUUAUCCUGUAUACAGGAUAAGUCCGCAAUCUCUCCCUCCCACAGGAGAAGGUAACAAUAGUUCGCUCCGCAGGAGAAGGUAACAAUAGUUCGCUCCGCAGGAGAAGGUAACAAUAGUUCGCUCCGCAAUGUUCCAGAGAUCCGGGCGGAACCAGACUUCCUUCCAUUAUCCUGUAUACAGGAUAAGUCCGCAAUCUCUCCCUCCCACAGGAGAAGGUAACAAUAGUUCGCUCCGCAAUGUUCCAGAGAUCCGGGCGGAACCAGACUUCCUUCCAUUAUCCUGUAUACAGGAUAAGUCCGCAAUCUCUCUCCCUUAGACUAA